GACGAACGCUGGCGGCGUGCUUAACACAUGCAAGUCGAACGGAAAGGCCCUGCUUUUGUGGGUUGCUCGAGUGGCGAACGGGUGAGUAACACGUGAGUAACCUGCCCUUGACUUUGGGAUAACUUCAGGAAACUGGGGCUAAUACCGGAUAGGAGCUCCUGCUGCAUGGUGGGGGUUGGAAAGUUUCGGCGGUUGUGGAUGGACUCGCGGCUUAUCAGCUUGUUGGUGGGGUAGUGGCUUACCAAGGCUUUGACGGGUAGCCGGCCUGGGAGGGUGACCGGCCACAUUGGGACUGAGAUACGGCCCAGACUCCUACGGGAGGCAGCAGGGGGGAAUAUUGCACAAUGGGCGGAAGCCUGAUGCAGCAACGCCGCGUGCGGGAUGACGGCCUUCGGGUUGUAAACCGCUUUCGCCGGUGACGAAGCGUGAGUGACGGUAAUGGGUAAAGAAGCACCGGCUAACUACGUG
rnacentral:rRNA from 1 species